rnacentral:rRNA from 1 species
GACGAACGCUGGCGGCGUGCUUAACACAUGCAAGUCGAGCGGUAAGGCCCUUUCGGGGGUACGACGAGCGGCGAACGGGUGAGUAACACGUGGGUGACCUGCCUUUAGCUCUGGGAUAAGCCUGGGAAACGUGGGUCUAAUACCGGAUAUGACUCCGCGGUGCAUGCUGUGGGGUGGAAAGCCUUGUGCGGCUGGAGAUGGGCCCGCGGCCUAUCAGCUUGUUGGUGGGGUGAUGGCCUACCAAGGCGACGACGGGUAGCCGGCCUGAGAGGGCGACCGGCCACACUGGGACUGAGACACGGCCCAGACUCCUACGGGAGGCAGCAGUGGGGAAUCUUGCGCAAUGGGCGAAAGCCUGACGCAG